UAACUAAGAAAUGUUACACUUUAAGAGCACCUCUUACAAAAAGAAGUUUAUUCAAGUGUAUGUACUUACUUUGUAUGUAGAAAUAUACUAGAAAUAUACCUAAAAGUAGUUGUAAACUAGUUGUGUAUUUAAAGUUUACUACUGUUACACUUAAAAGUAUACUUUUAUACACUAAAAAGUUGGCCAAUUUAGUCCCAAGCAUGAAAUAGUUAACUUACAAGUAUGCUAGUAGUGCACUAAUAUUAGUUGGCUAUACCUAUUACAUAAUGUAUACUUAAAAUAUACUGAAUAAAAUUAACUUGAAUAAACUUAUUUUUUUGUAAAUGACAGCUAAUCAGACAAGAGCUCUUGAGUGAGGUGGGAGAUAUAUUCACACAGAUUAAUAAUGUCAAGGCCUUCAUUUGAUUUCCCAUAUUAAAGAUUCACUUUAAUUCUGAGUACCACAUAUUUGUAUUAUAAAAAGGGUUUUAUAAAUCUAUAGAUUUUUAGUAAUAUAUAUACAUAUUCCAUGUUCACACAGGUUUGUUCAUUACUGUUACAAUCUAUGAUGUCAUAUCCUGUUCACCAACAGCUAGAGUUUGAAUCAUUUCAAAGGCUGGGACUCACUGUGCGCUCCACCAGAACUCAACAUGACUAGAGCCAUUAUUUCAUUGAUUCUGUUCCUGCACUGGAGCCAAGGCGCUAUGGGUGGAGAUGAUGUGGUUCAAGAGCCUAAAAUUCUGUGGAAACCAAAAGGGAGUUCUGCUAAUAUGAACUGCACACACUAUAAGGAAAUUUCAUACCAACAGAUGUACUGGUACCGUCAGCGUCCAGGAGAGACCAUGAGGCUCAUAGUAUUGACUAUUGCUGGUUCAGACCCAGACUUUGGAGAUGUUGAUAAAGAUAAAUUUGAAGCUCAUAAAAGUGUUGCUGAUAGAGGAUCUCUAAUAGUGAAAGAUCUAGAGCCAGAAGACAGUGCCAUAUAUUUCUGUUCAGUGAGUCAACACAGUGUGUCAAAGGCUGGAGAGUGCUGUACAAAAACAUUCUGUACAUGAAAGAUCAGUGACAGAAUUAGUCAACAGGUGGCAGUCUGGUACAACCAACGUGUUGCAUGUCAAAACAGUUGAGAUGAGGCAAAAUAAUUAGGAGUAUUAUGGCUCAAAUACAAGUUACUGACACCAUUUAUUGCAUGUUCUCCAUUAUCACAGAAAAUAACUUCAACCUCAGUUUAUAAAAACAAUGUGUUGGCAGAAUUUGAUUUAAAACUAGUUCAGUAGAGAUUGAGUCCCGACAAAACAACACAACUGGAGAUCAAACUACAAUUUUGUUCACAUUUAACACCAUUAAUAAAUGAACACAUCAUAUCAAACAAAGUUAAUUUUAUACUAAGUCAUAUAAACAAAUCUUUGAGAUCAUUCCAUUCUUCUUUACAGUGAAGUUGAUCAAUUCCAGCCAAAGAAAUAUAAAGUAAAUGCAAUGUGCAAAAGUUCUCUUAAGUGGGCAUUUAAGCAAUACAAUGACAAGCAAAAAUCAAUCUUUAAGGAGAAAUGUACAUAAAAGUUUUUUUAAAUGUAUUAAAAAAGACUGUUAGGUGUCAGUGUGGUUGAACAAAUUCCAGCCUAUUUGAAAUGUAAAUCAAUCUGUUUGCAUAAAGUAAAUAUGAAUGAUCUUUAACGUCAUAAUCAUUGUGAUUUGCAUAUCAGUCCUAAUAUUUAUUCAAAACUCAUUCUGUAGACUGAAUCUGACUGCCCCCAUUUUAUUACUCUUUUCUCUCAGGUUACACCAGUUAGGAACUGGUAUAGCUGACAUCACUUCCUUCUGCUUGUGCCUU